rnacentral:rRNA from 1 species
AGCAGCCGCGGUAAUUCCAGCUCCAAUAGCGUAUAUUAAAGUUGUUGCAGUUAAAAAGCUCGUAGUUGAAUUUCGGGGCCAGUAGGUUGGUCGUGCCACUGGUAUGCACUGGCCUCACUGGUCCCUCCUUCUUGUAGAACCGUGAUGGCAUUAAUUUGUUGUUGCGGGGAAACAGGACUGUUACUUUGAAAAAAUUAGAGUGCUUAAAGCAGGCUCGCGCUUGAAUACAUUAGCAUGGAAUAACGAAAUAGGACGAUCGAACCUAUUUUGUUGGUUUCUAGGAUCGACGUAAUGAUUAAUAGGGAUAGUUGGGGGCAUUAGUAUUCAAUUGUCAGAGGUGAAAUUCUUGGAUUUAUUGAAGACUAACUACUGCGAAAGCAUUUGCCAAGGAUGUUUUCAUUAAUCAAGAACGAAAGUUAGGGGAUCGAAGGCGAUCAGAUACCGUCGUAGUCUUAACCAUAAACUAUGCCGACUAGGGAUCGGAUGAAGUUAAUUUUUUAAUGACUCAUUCGGCGCCUUA